AUCCUACGGGGGGCAGCAGUGGGGGAUAUUGGACAAUGGGGGAAACCCUGAUCCAGCGACGCCGCGUGAGUGAAGAAGUAUUUCGGUAUGUAAAGCUCUGUCAGCAGGGAAGAAAGAAAUGACGGUACCUGACCAAGAAGCCCCGGCUAACUACGUGCCAGCAGCCGCGGUAAUACGUAGGGGGCAAGCGUUAUCCGGAUUUACUGGGUGUAAAGGGAGCGUAGACGGCGCUGCAAGUCCGGAGUGAAAGCCCAUGGCUUAACCAUGGUACUGCUCUGGAAACUGUGGAGCUUGAGGGCGGGAGG
rnacentral:rRNA from 1 species